CACGUAGGGUGCGAGCGUUGUCCGGAAUUAUUGGGCGUAAAGAGCUCGUAGGCGGUCUGUCGCGUCGGUCGUGAAAACCUGCAGCUUAACUGUGGGCUUGCGGUCGAUACGGGCAUGACUGGAGUUCGGCAGGGGAGACUGGAAUUCCUGGUGUAACGGUGAAAUGCGCAGAUAUCAGGAAGAACACCCGUGGCGAAGGCGGUUCUCUGGGACGGUACUGACGCUGAGACGCGAAAGCGUGGGGAGCGAACAGG
rnacentral:rRNA from 1 species